UGGUCACCUUGGAGCUGGGGGCCUCAGUCCCAGGAGUAAUCUCUGGUCAGAUGCAGAGGCUCUAAUCCACAGAAGAAAGCCUCACCCAUCUUCUCCCGGUGAUGGCAGUGCCUGGACCCAGUUCUUGAGACCCCCAAUUGUAGCUUCAGUGGGGCCUGUACUCUCCUGCCCUCAUCCUACCUAGCGGCCCUCAGAAUGCAAGAAGACCACGCAGCAAGGAGAGCCAGGAAAACCUUCAUCAAAGAGGACUUUUUUUCCUUUAAAAAUACAUUUAGGUUUCCUGCAAUGUGAAUUGACAAAAAUACCGUGUAAGUAACGGUAGAGGGGAUAUGGAGAAAACCAGGGAGGUCACACGAAUAACCAGUUUGGGAAAUGUGGCUCCUGGGCUGAGCUGAGUAGUAGGCACCCCACGCUGCCUGCCAAUCUCACCCCCAGGGCAGAAGGUAGAAGGGCAAGGAUGCCCCCUGCUGGGCGCACUGGAAAGCACGUGCCUCCUAGGGAAAGGCUGUGGACCCCGGGAAAGCCGACUCUCAGGGAAGUUACUGGAGGGUCUGUGUCAUGGUGAUUCACGGAGACACGUUCGCUGGGGAGUUUGGCAUGUGUGAGCUUUGGCGGUGAGAAAUUACACUCAACAGAAUGCCUCCCAAGGAGAUGCUGGUACCUAGAACCCAGGAGGCAGGCAGGUGUCGAAUUCUCUCGCUCACUUGGCACUUUUGGGUGGGGACCUUGUGCUGUGGUUCUCCAACCUGUUCAUCAGCAAAGAUUAGUAGUGGAAGUUAAACUCCGAUCUUCAGGUCAUAGCCAAAGAAGAGAGUCAGAUGAGAUUGGUUUCUUACCUGAUGCCAUGACUUACCGGAUAAAGCAACAAAGUUCAAGAGCCUGGAGAUCUAUGGUGCAUUUUAGGCCAGUGGUUAGCUACUUUGGGAAUGAAGAUGCCUUGGUCGUUGCAUUCUCUGGGGCCUAUUUCCCAGUCUGUUAUAGGGAGCCACACUCAGUCUCCAUAAAUCCAGCCACUUACCAGCUGGUUUAUCUUGUGAUACUUAACCUUCCUGUGCCUCCAUUUCCUCACCUAUAAAACAAGGAUCAUAAUACCUCCAAAGGUGGUUGUAAGGAUUCAAUAAUAUGUAUAUCCAAUAUUUAAUAUAGUGCCUGCACAUGAGCUCGAUAGUAUUGUUACCAUUAUUUAUCAUUAUUAUUUAUUGGCAGACACUGGCAGGGGAAAUACAGUUUCUCGUCACUUCCUUUGCAGUAUAUAUGCUGUUCUUUCCAAAACAAGUAUCUUCACUGACUUGC